ACGGCAGCACGGGGGCAACCCUGGUGGCGAGUGGCGAACGGGUGAGUAAUGUAUCGGAACGUACCCAGUCGUGGGGGAUAACUAUCCGAAAGGAUAGCUAAUACCGCAUACGUCCUGAGGGAGAAAGCGGGGGAUCGCAAGACCUCGCGCGAUUGGAGCGGCCGAUAUCGGAUUAGCUAGCUGGUGAGGUAAAGGCUCACCAAGGCGACGAUCCGUAGCGGGUCUGAGAGGACGACCCGCCACACUGGAACUGAGACACGGUCCAGACUCCUACGGGAGGCAGCAGUGGGGAAUUUUGGACAAUGGGGGAAACCCUGAUCCAGCCAUUCCGCGUGAGUGAAGAAGGCCUUCGGGUUGUAAAGCUCUUUCAGCAGGAACGAAACGGUCGGCUUUAAUAAAGUCGGCUAAUGACGGUACCUGCAGAAGAAGCACCGGCUAACUACGUGCCAGCAGCCGCGGUAAUA
rnacentral:rRNA from 1 species